UAUUUAUAUAGUAUAAAAGUACAUAUGACUUCCAAUCAUAAAGUCUAUUUAUUUAUAAUAGUAUAAAUAA
rnacentral:tRNA from 1 species